rnacentral:rRNA from 1 species
UACGGAGGAUCCGAGCGUUAUCCGGAUUUAUUGGGUUUAAAGGGUGCGUAGGCGGCCUAUUAAGUCAGGGGUGAAAGACGGUAGCUUAACUAUCGCAGUGCCUUUGAUACUGAUAGGCUUGAAUGUACUUGAGGUAGGCGGAAUGUGACAAGUAGCGGUGAAAUGCAUAGAUAUGUCACAGAACACCAAUUGCGAAGGCAGCUUACUAAAGUAUGAUUGACGCUGAGGCACGAAAGCGUGGGGAGCAAACAGG